AUACUCUGUUACUAAAGAGACUAAAAAUGGCACAUCCAUUUCCUUAAAAACAAAAACAAAAACAAAAACAAAAACAAAACCAACAACAACAACAAACAACAAAAAAACGUAAGGCAGGACAUAUCUCUUCUGGGCCACACAGUUGAAGAGAAGCCAUGAAAUUCUGGUGCUCCGUAAGCCAUCCCUGCUCAUGUGGGAAGUGCUCUAAGGAAAGCAGUGGCUGUGACAUCAGCAAUCCCACUUGUGGGUCUGCAUCCAGAGGAAAUGCAAACAGGACCACGAAGACAUGUCUGCCCCCCACGUUCACCGCAGCGUUAAGUCCCCACGGCCAAAGUACGGAGACAACCUGAGCGUCUGUCCACAGAUGGAUGGAUAAAGAAGGGGUGGGGCGCCUGGACCACGGAAUACUAUUCAGCCAUGAAAAAGAAGGAAAUCCUGCCGUUUGUGACAAUAUGGAUGGACGUUGAGGGCAUUAUGCUAAGUGAGGUAAGUCAAAUAGAGACAGACAAGUACUAGAUUGAUUUCACAGUAAGAAGACACGAUAAUUAUGUUGCGUUGCACACAGAGGUAUGUGCUAAAGCCAGGUGGCAAUCCUAUUGCAAUGUAAAUGCAUCAAGUUAACACAUGUACACCUUAAACUUAUACAAUGUUAUAAGUCAAAUAUGUCUCCAUUGAAAAGAAACAGAAUCUCUUGCCAGUGUAUGAGUCUGAUUCCACAGCGUAAAGUAUGCUGUUAUGUUAAAAUACAAUUUUCCCCUCAGUCAGAUGUACAGGGCUCUGCAUAUUCUCUCUCUCUCUCUCUCUCUCUCUCUCUCUCUCUGUCUCGUCGUCCUCUCUCUCUCUUUAGUAUUCUCAUUGUAUCUCCUACUACCCCACUGGCCAAUUCUGCUCCAGCCACACUGACUUCUUUGCCCUGCCUGGAAUGUCUCAAGUGUGCAUCCGCCCCAGGACCUUUGCGCUUGUCACUCUCUCUGCCUGGAACGUUCUUCCCCCAGAGACUUCCUCUUACAAUCUUGCUCCACUGUUCUCUUCUCAUUUACGCCUUCCCGGACCAUCCUAUCGAAAAUCGCUACACCCCCUCCAGAUUUCACAUGAUCUUUUGCCACUUCCCCCCCUCCUCCCCGUCUUUGGCAUGUAUUAAACUACUAACCUGCUAUGUACUUUCCAUUUUGGUGUUCUUUCCUGCCUGUCUCCCCCUA